CAAUUGUAAAUGGAUACGUAGAAAGCAUUUUUGGGAAGCUGAGACAUAAAUGAGUACAAAAUACUGUCAUUUUUAUUUUUAAUGAGGUUG